UUGCUUGCGACACAGAUCUGGCAGCUUUAUCUGAUUCUCGAGAAUCCAGCCUCGCUGUCGGGAACGAGCGGGAGUGACAGCAGACUUGCACGCCUCUACAACAUAUAUGACACCCAAUCCGCAUAUCCCGCCUUUGUGGCGCCCACGUUCACAUAUACAAAGAUUCAUGGCAGUUUUACGGAAGUAAUCUGAUUUUGCUGUCGUGUCGCGAACACGUCCACGGACAAUGGCACAACAUUCUUCUACGAGUGUUCUCCUGUAGUCUGACAGAAUAAUCAUUAUUGAUGGAUGAAAAUGGAGAAGAAUCCGCCGCCACCUAGUUCUGCCUCACUUUCAUACACUCCAUAUCCACAGCCACCACCACAACCACAGACACUAUCGCAAUCAAAUGUCAUUAUAACGAGGUUUGGCUCACAAUCGCAACAUCUGACUUGUCCACACUGUCAUGCUAAUAUAUCCACACGCGUGGAAACGGAAUCGAACAUGAAAACUCAUUUGAUGGCGGUGUUUCUUUGUGCUUUGGG